AUGCAUGGAAUGCAUGGAACUAAUUUAAUAAUUUUUAAAAGUGCUAAAUAUAUACUUAGGUGUGUGCAUGUGAAUGCAUGGAAUAUAUAAAUAAAAUAAAUACAUGGCUAUAGUUAGUAUUUAGCAAAUAGCUACGUGUAUAAAUUCUAAAUCAUAACUAAAUUGCUUCUACAUACACCUAGCCUCAUGAUUCAGCAAACCUACAUAUAUACGUGCAAGUAAACUAUUUAUGGUAAGCAAAGCUAUCAACCUAUAUUAUAAACCUAGGAAACCUAUAAUUGGAGGCCUAUAAAUAGCCGAUCAGUGGAUUAAGAGAAAGCAUAGCCAAGAUAUGUACUAUAGUAGAGUAGUAAGGAAUUGAUCGAGUAGAAGGACUCUGAGAAGUUAACAAAAAGCAUCGUAAAAUUAAGGUUAGUAAGAUGGUGGAGAUGGAAGCAGUUGUGGCGGGUUGGCUGCAAUAUGUUGAAAUAGCUAGCUAUUAUAUUUAAAAAAAUAUGUCAUAUAUUUUGAGUAUGUAAAAUGUUAGUUAAAAAUUAUAUAUAUGAUAUUAUUAUUAUGCAAUAAUUUAUUUAUCGCUCGAUGGAGAGUGCAUGUAGUCGG